rnacentral:misc_RNA from 1 species
UAGGGCAAAAUUAGGGUUUUUGUGGCUGGUUAUAAAGGGACUCGAAAAACCCUAGUUUUGGACCAGUCUUGUGAUUCGGUUUGUGUGGAUAAAAAAGAAAUUAGGGUUUUGGAGUUACAUGUAUGGCUUCGGGGACUAUAGUUGGAGAGGGAGGUGGAAAUGAUGGAGCUAGAGAGAAACAGAGGUUUACAGAGAGUAAAGUUUAUACAAGAAAAGCUUUUAAAGGGCC